rnacentral:rRNA from 1 species
AUACGUAGGGGACAAGCGUUAUCCGGAUUUACUGGGCGUAAAGGGCGCGUAGGCGGACUUGCAAGUCAGUAGUGAAAUUCCUGAGCUCAACUCGGGUGCUUCUUUUGAAACUGUAGGUCUUGAGUGUUGGAGGGGGAAGCGGAAUUCCUGGUGGAGCGGUGAAAUGCGCAGAUAUUGGGAAGAACACCGGUGGCGAAGGCGGCUAUCUGGACAGUAACUGACGCUGAGGCGCGAAAGAGUGGGGAGCAAACAGGAUUAUAUACCCUGGUAUACCACGCCGUAAACGAUGAAGACUAGGUGUAGGGGGUAUCGACUCCCUCUGUGCCGCAGUUAACACAAUAAGUAUUCCGCCUGGGGAGUACGGUCGCAAGGUUGAAACUCAAAGGAAUUGACGGGG